UUGCAGCCAAUUAAGCCAACUGUGCUUUUUCCCCAUGGGGGCCCAGUGUGCAAUGGCUGCAAACAGCAGCAUCCUAGGUAGGGUUUGCAACCUAUUGCCUGUACAGGUUGCCCUACAGUAUCUUAAAGACAACU
ensembl:snoRNA SNORA70 Small nucleolar RNA SNORA70